UACGGAGGGGGCUAGCGUUGUUCGGAAUUACUGGGCGUAAAGCGCACGUAGGCGGCUUUGUAAGUUAGAGGUGAAAGCCCGGGGUUCAACUCCGGAAUUGCCUUUAAGACUGCAUCGCUAGAAUUGUGGAGAGGUAAGUGGAAUUCCGAGUGUAGAGGUGAAAUUCGUAGAUAUUCGGAAGAACACCAGUGGCGAAGGCGACUUACUGGACACAUAUUGACGCUGAGGUGCGAAAGCGUGGGGAGCAAACAGG
rnacentral:rRNA from 1 species